rnacentral:rRNA from 1 species
AUCGAACGCUGGCGGCAGGCCUAACACAUGCAAGUCGAGCGGAGCGGCGGACGGGUGAGUAAUGCCUAGGGAUCUGCCUGGUAGCGGGGGAUAACGUCCGGAAACGGGCGCUACUACUGCAUACUAUCAGAUGAGCCUCGGUCGGAUUAGCUAGUUGGGGGGGUAAAGGCCUACCAAGGCGACGAUCCGUAACUGGUCUGAGAGGAUGAUCAGUCACACUGGAGCUUGGACACGGUCCAGACGCCUACGGGAGGCGGCAGUGGGGAAUAUUGGACAAGGGGCGAAAGCCUGGUACAGCCAUGCCGCGUGUGUGAAGAAGGUCUUCGGAUUGGGAAGCAGUUUAUGUUGGUAUGCGUUACCAACAGAAUAAGCACCGGCUAACUGCGUGCCAGCAGCCGCGGUAAUUC